UACGGAGGGUGCGAGCGUUGUCCGGAAUCAUUGGGCGUAAAGGGCGCGUAGGUGGCCACUUCAAGCGUGCGGUGAAAGUCGGGGGCUCAACCCCUGAUCGGCCGUGCGAACUGGGGGGCUGGAGCACUGUAGAGGCAGGCGGAAUUCCGGGUGUAGCGGUGGAAUGCGUAGAGAUCCGGAAGAACACCGGUGGCGAAGGCGGUCUGCUGGGCCAAGACUGACGCUGAGGCGCGACAGCGUGGGGAGCAAACAGGG
rnacentral:rRNA from 1 species